AAACCAUGAUGUGGACACUCUUAGAGAAGGUCUUUGAAAUGUUCCAUGCAGCAGGAAAAUGAUUCAUUGGGUCGCCUGUGAAACCGGAGAAUGUCAUUCCUAAGUUU
rnacentral:snoRNA from 1 species